rnacentral:rRNA from 1 species
GACGAACGCUGGCGGCGUGCCUAAUACAUGCAAGUCGGGCGGAGCGGCGGACGGGUGCGUAAUGUAUGGGGAUCUGCCUGAUGGAGGGGGAUAACGUCCGGAAACGGGCGCUAAUACCGCAUACUAUCAGAUGAGCCUAGGUCGGAUUAGCUAGUUGGUGGGGUAAAGGCCUACCAAGGCGACGAUCCGUAACUGGUCUGAGAGGAUGAUCAGUCACACUGGAACUGAGACACGGUCCAGACUCCUACGGGAGGCAGCAGUGGGGAAUAUUGGACAAUGGGCGAAAGCCUGAUCCAGCCAUGCCGCGUGUGUGAAGAAGGUCUUCGGAUUGUAAAGCACUUUAAGUUGGGAGGCGUUACCAACAGAAUAAGCACCGGCUAACUUCGUGCCAGCAGCCGCGGUAAUUC